CAAUAGCGUAUAUUUAAGUUGUUGCAGUUAAAAAGCUCGUAGUUGGAUUUCGGAUGGGAUUUGCCGGUCCGUCGUUACGAUGUGCACUGGCCAGUCCUAUCUUGUUGUCGGGGACUAGCUCCUUGGAUUCACUUCCUGGGACUAGGAGCUGACGAGGUUACUUUGAGUAAAUUAGAGUGUUCAAAGCAAGCCUACGCUCUGAAUACAUUAGCAUGGAAUAACACGAUAGGACUCUGGCUUAUCUUGUUGGUCUGUGAGACCAGAGUAAUGAUUAAGAGGGACAGUCGGGGACAUUCGUAUUUCAUUGUCAGAGGUGAAAUUCUUGGAUUUAUGAAAGACGAACUUCUGCGAAAGCAUUUACCAAGGAUGUUUUCAUUAA
rnacentral:rRNA from 1 species